GCUACGUCGAUGCGUGCCCGUUUUUUCUCUCGUGAAACCAGUACGAAAAAAAAACUAUUUGCAAAUCGUAACACACGCACAAACGGAAGUGAGCACGGACCACGAUAGAAAUAAUCAAUUGGUAGUGCCGAAAACAAAAGGACAGGAGAGGCAGGAACGAUCAUUCAACGCGUUAGCGCCGGACGAAGGAAAAGCGGCAGGAAGGCAGGAACGAUCCUCCAACGUGCUAGCGCCUGGUAGAGGAGAGGCGGCAGGAAGGUAGGGACGAUCAUCCAGCACGCUAGCGCAGCACCUGGG